rnacentral:rRNA from 1 species
CUACGGGCCGCUGCAGUGAGGAAUAUUGCACAAUGGGGGGAACUCUGAUGCAGCAACGCCGCGUGGAGGAUGACACAUUUCGGUGUGUAAACUCCUUUUAUAUGUCAAGAAAAUGACGACAGCAUAUGAAUAAGCACCGGCUAACUCCGUGCCAGCAGCCGCGGUAAUACGGAGGGUGCAAGCGUUACUCGGAAUCACUGGGCGUAAAGGACGCGUAGGCGGGUUGGAAAGUCAGGUGUGAAAUCCUACAGCUUAACUGUAGAACUGCACUUGAAACUUCUAAUCUAGAGUAUGGGAGGGGGAGAUGGAAUUAGUGGUGUAGGGGUAAAAUCCGUAGAUAUCACUAGGAAUACCUAAAGCGAAGGCGAUCUCCUGGAACAUUGCUGACGCUAAGGCGUGAAAGCGUGGGGAGCAAACAGGAUUAGAUACCCCUGUAGUC